rnacentral:tRNA from 1 species
GGCCUCGCAGUUCAGCUGGUAGAGCGUGCGCUGUCCAAAAGCGUAGGUGGCGUCCACGCGUGGUUUCGAUUCCCACUGAGGCUA